GUGAGGGUGCCAAGUGGCACCUUUUUGACUUUUGGAAAAACGGGAUAUUUACAUCCCAAACUCGUCUCCUUCUCCAUUAUUCCAGAGACCUAGACCAAAUAUCACUCCUAACCUCACCCUCAAGCUAUCCACAAGGAUAUCCAACAAGAUUAUCAUCUAUGGCACGAAAUCACGAAGCAAUAACACUAGAACGAUCCCCACGACGUAAGUAUCGCUAUAUAGCCUCUCUUUUUCUUUGUAGUUUGAGUUUUGGAAGGUAUUUUGAAGUUAAUAAAAAUGACUAAUUUCUGGUUUCAAGCUAUUAAAUGUCAAUUAAGGUUGAUUAAUUCAUUUCAUAAUAGUUAGAACUCACGGGACGGUGAUCGGAAGCCGUGAGUUCGAGUUAUUUGAUUUGUAAUGGACUGUCUUGUGGGCUGUUUCGUGUAGCUUUUGAUCUAUAUAUUUUGCUUCUAUUUAAUGGAGUUUUUGGAGGAUAAAUGGUGUGGAUAAACACCACAUAAUGGCGAAAUGAUGGAUUAGUCAUUCUUUGUAAUAUUUUUGGGGUGUUUGACACUACUAUAGUCGUCGUUUUUGGUAUGAAUUGAUUGGGGUGUUUUGGGAUGUUGCAAGCUAAAUAUAACAUGGAUUUUGGCUUGCAUACACUGUAGGAGAUAAUUAUAUUGUGUUCCUACAGGCGCUUAAGGUUAUCUUGGCAUUGGUUAAGUUAAAUGGAUGAACUAGAUAUGAACUAGUGAAUAAAGUUGCUAAUUAAGAAUAAUUGGAAUUGUGGAUCGUUUUCUGUGUUAUGGAUAUAUGGUAUAAGGCUGGAAUUAUUGAUGAAUGACUUUAUUAUCAUGUUAAUGAUACUAUUAAGUUAAAGUAAAAAGUCUAUAAGGGGUGAUAUGGGGUAUACGAAUUUCAAUUGGAGCUUGUCGCUCGUCGUAAAAUAGUUAUGACUUAUUGUUGUUUUAUGGUGUCUUGUUGUUCAUAAUUAUGUAUUGCUGGAUUUCUCUGGUAAUUUGUUUUGGUAUAUGGUAUUGAAGGAGACUCUUGUUACAGGGGAGAUGCUGCCCGAAUUUAUAUGAACGAGCUACAAGUUUAAGUUGCAGACUUAGCCUUUAUUCAAUACUGAUUUUGAAUCUCCUUAUGCAAUGGUAGAUUGAGUUGAGUUGGUUGAAGAGUUGCUUGGGAGGUAUUAUGGACUCAACGUGGAGUUGCUUGGGAGGUAUUAUGGACUCAACGUGGUUAAGGUAUGUUAAGGAACUUACUUCUUUCUAUUGGCUGAUCUAAAGUGAAAUGAACAUAAACGGUACGCUAAUUCAUAACUGAUCUACUCCUAGAAACUAAGGUUGUCCAUGUUGUUCUUUCCUUAUAAAGUUAUUCUAAACAAGUGUGUAUGAUCCUUGAAUCUUACCAAGGUUCAUUUUGAAGGUAUGGAUGUCCAUAAUGUUAAUCGAAGGUGCAACGACCUUAUGUCACUCCGAAAGGUUUAGAACGUGAUUCCAUGUGUCGAGAAUGCAUUAUAUAUAUAUAUAUAUAUAUAUAUAUAUAUUUUACUAUACCGAGCCGCGCUAUAGUUGGCCGGGUACGGUACCUAUUGUGCAACCACUGAUCAGUUGGGUUUAUUGAGCUCCACGUGGCCGGGUACGAUUCUACCAAGCCUUAUAAUGGCC
rnacentral:lncRNA from 1 species